rnacentral:piRNA from 1 species
AUCUCGGUAUCUACGUUCAAGG